UUGGUUAGAACUCAACACAGGUUGGCGCCGUAACGACGCCGACACCUAGGCUCGCCACGCCGGCAGCGAGCCCACCAACGGCAGAAAAACUCUGCCCGGCCUCAGACGAGGCCGAAGGAUAUCAAGACAGUCAAC
rfam:Pseudomonas fluorescens SBW25 complete genome